rnacentral:rRNA from 1 species
GACGAACCGUCCAAACGUUAUUCGGAAUUACUGGGCUUAAAGGGUGUGUAGGCGGCCGCGAAAGUUGGGUGUGAAAGCCCUCGGCUCAACCGAGGAAUGGCGCCCAAAACUACGCAGGCUCGAGGGAGACAGAGGUGAGCGGAACUUCGGGUGGAGCGGUGAAAUGCGUUGAUAUCCGAAGGAACACCGGUGGCGAAAGCGGCUCACUGGGUCUCUACUGACGCUGAGACACGAAAGCUAGGGGAGCGAACAGG